rnacentral:rRNA from 1 species
GACGAACGCUGGCGGCGCGCCUAAUACAUGCAAGUUGAGCGAUGAAGCUUGGUGCUUGCACCAAUUUGAAGAGCAGCGAACGGGUGAGUAACGCGUGGGGAAUCUGCCUUUGAGCGGGGGACAACAUUUGGAAACGAAUGCUAAUACCGCAUAAUAACUUUAAACAUAAGUUUUAAGUUUGAAAGAUGCAAUUGCAUCACUCAAAGAUGAUCCCGCGUUGUAUUAGCUAGUUGGUGAGGUAAAGGCUCACCAAGGCGAUGAUACAUAGCCGACCUGAGAGGGUGAUCGGCCACAUUGGGACUGAGACACGGCCCAAACUCCUACGGGAGGCAGCAGUAGGGAAUCUUCGGCAAUGGACGAAAGUCUGACCGAGAAACGCCGCGUGAGUGAAGAAGGUUUUCGGAUCGUAAAACUCUGUUGGUAGAGAAGAACGUUGGUGAGAGUGGAAAGCUCAUCAAGUGACGGUAACUACCCAGAAAGGGACGGCUAACUACGUG